UUAAUGUUUAGCUGUCAGCCAACUGCAGUGGGAUUCAAAUUCUAUUCAUCAAGCUCUCACAAAGUAAAUGAAAUAAUGAUCAGAUUUAACUGGCUGAUAUUCACACUUCUGUUCCAGAUAUCCUCAGCAAUUCACCGCCUCCUUCCUACCUGGAAGUGAUCCAGAGUUUUUUGUAAAACCUGAGUCUGGAGAACUCCCUCCUUCUCAUAGUAAAGGAAUACUCAUCAUUGUAGGAUUUAAACCAAAAAUGUACAGUAAAAAAUACAAAGCAACAUUAGGAAUACAGACAGAUGAUACGUGCUGGAUGUAUGAAAUCAACGGGUUACCACCAGAAACCACACCUCUGAUGAAUGUAAAACCUAAAGUUAAUACUACAAACCAAAGGUAUGAUGACAUGCCCAUUCGUCAACGCAAUUUUAUCCGUGAAAAUGCUGAACUCAUAAGGACAGGGGUGUCUUCUACCAUUAAGGGUGCUCCUUUGGUGAUGAAGAGAAAAUAAAAAAAAAUCAAAAUCAUUUCUUGGAUUCAACUAGAAUUGAAUUUUUUCAUUAUUACUAUUUUAUGUUUUGUAAUAUUCCUGAGGAAUAAUAAUUUAACAAUAACAGGUCUUCUGUAUUUUCUUGUAUUUUAAAAUGCUGACCUAACUAGUCUCUAAACAUGUCAUACCUCAUUUCUGAAUUGUGUCUGUUUUUUAAUGGAUUUUCGUUCUAAAUACUGGAAAAAUUUGACGUUUAGAAUGUGGGAAUACAUUUUUAGUAAAACUGACACAGAAUUUUAAUGACAAUAUUUCAAACAUCAAACAACAGUGUUGCUAUCAAAACUAAAUUUAUCAUGUGGAUUUUGCUUGCAAGUUUUUUUUUCUAAGUUUUUUUAUUGGUACAUUUUAGGUAUACAGUUCGUUUGCAUUUAUCAUUGGGUGUUUGUACCUGUACAUGAUGUAUCUUGGUUCUUAUUUUUUCCCCAUUACCUGUGUGCCCUUUACCCCCUCUACCCUUCCUUAUUUACAGACAUCAUUUCCAUUUUUUUUUCUUUUCUUGUGGUUUUUACUUUCCCUCCUUUCCUUUCCCCUUCCCCUCCCUUCACCCCUUCAUCUUUGGACCUUUUUUCUAAUUUUGAAUUAUCAAUUAUACAUUUUAACCAUUUGAACCCUUGUUUACACUAUCAGCUUCUCAUACUAGUGAAACUAUUCGUUUUUACACAUGUGUGUCCUAUUUAUUUCACUUAAGAGUAUGGCCUCAAUAU
rnacentral:lncRNA from 1 species